rnacentral:rRNA from 1 species
AAUGGCAUAACGAGGGCUUAGCUGUCUCCUCUUUCAAGUCAAUGAAAUUGAUCUCCCCGUGCAGAAGCGGGGAUACCUCCAUAAGACGAGAAGACCCUAUGAAGCUUUAGACACCAAGACAGACCAUGUUAAGCACCCCUAGAUAAAGGACCGAACCGAAUGAGCCCUGUCCCAAUGUCUUUGGUUGGGGCGACCGCGGGGAAAUACAAAACCCCCACGUGGAACGAGAGCACCCCCUCUCACAACCAAGAGCUCCCGCUCUAAUAAACAGAACUUCUGACCAAUUAGAUCCGGCAAAGCCGAUCAACGGACCGAGUUACCCUAGGGAUAACAGCGCAAUCCCCUUUUAGAGACCAUAUCGACAAGGGGGUUUACGACCUCGAUGUUGGAUCAGGACAUCCUAAUGGUCCAGCCGCUA